AUUGAACGCUGGCGGCAUGCCUUACACAUGCAAGUCGAACGGCAGCACGGGUGCUUGCACCUGGUGGCGAGUGGCGAACGGGUGAGUAAUACAUCGGAACAUGUCCUGUAGUGGGGGAUAGCCCGGCGAAAGCCGGAUUAAUACCGCAUACGAUCUACGGAUGAAAGCGGGGGACCUUCGGACCUCGCGCUAUAGGGUUGGCCGAUGGCUGAUUAGCUAGUUGGUGGGGUAAAGGCCUACCAAGGCGACGAUCAGUAGCUGGUCUGAGAGGAAGACCAGCCACACUGGAACUGAGACACGGCCCAGACUCCUACGGGAGGCAGCAGUAGGGAAUUUUGGACAAUGGGCGAAAGCCUGAUCCAGCAAUGCCGCGUGUGUGAAGAAGGCCUUCGGGUUGUAAAGCACUUUUGUCCGGAAAGAAAUCCUUGGCCCUAAUACGGUCGGGGGAUGACGGUACCGGAAGAAUAAGCACCGGCUAACUACGUG
rnacentral:rRNA from 1 species